UACGUAGGGGGCAAGCGUUGUCCGGAAUCAUUGGGCGUAAAGCGCGCGUAGGCGGCCCGGUAAGUCCGCUCUGAAAGUCCAGGGCUUAACCCUGGAAAGCGGGUGGAUACUGCCGGGCUUGAAUCCGGAAGAGGCGAGUGGAAUUCCUGGUGUAGCGGUGGAAUGCGCAGAUAUCAGGAGGAACACCAAUAGCGAAGGCAGCUCGCUGGGACGGUAUUGACGCUAAGGCGCGAAAGCGUGGGGAGCAAACGGG
rnacentral:rRNA from 1 species